GCUCGAGCUCGUGUACAGUUGCUCGUUCGUGUUGGAUUAACCACUUGUUCUGCAUUGGAGUCAUCCUUUCCUACAUUUUGGUGCCGAAACCCGGGAGGCAUACACACCUCUUCUCUUCUGGACGAAAGGAUUCUCCAAUCAUGGACCGCUUAAAACGACAACGGGCCCCUGUCCGCGCCAGGAUCACAAGACUAACCGACGAGAUCAAGGACAUCCUGAAUUCGACAAGCCCCUCUCGACAAGAUCUAGAGCUCAAGCUUUCUCUUCUCACCGGCAAGGCAGCUAUACUCGCAGGUAUGGAUAGCCAGAUUGCAGCCCUUGUGGACGAUGACGAAAUCGGUACCGAAGCCCACAGAACCAGUAACCGCCCCUGGACAGCCGACAAGGGUCCGAGCAUCUACAGCCUAAAGUGAACAUCCAUUGAACGCCUCCUGGACGCGUUAGUUGGGACGCUCCAAUGAGUAUACAGCAGCAGACGUCCCACAUACAUCACCCUGUGGACACCGUGCGCACCCCAUCCGCACUGUGUCCGCAAAGAGCCGUUUGAGCACCCUUUUUCGCUCUUCACCUUCCGCCUCGUUCUUCUCUCCCGCUCUGUCGUCUGACUGCGUAGCCGCCAAAGGAGAAAUCUUCACAGAAGGCUUGUUUUUUCGCAACGCGCAGAAGAGAGAGCCACGUGAUGCCAUAGCCCGUUGUGCGGAUGAUUUCAAACGCCGCUGGAGAGGCUGGUGAAACACGGCGGCGUCUGCAAUGGCUUGGAGUAAUACCGUAAUUUUCCGCGCGACCAGCACCAGUACAGCUUGAAUUUUGUGAAGAGUUAGAUGCACACGCCUUGUAGGUAACGGUUUCUCCAUCGGGGGCCACUAUCUAUGACCGAAAUACAGGCAUGAACGCUUAUACCGCUCAGCAUCGGUCAUUCAUUACUGUGUGCGCCUCAGCGUCUCCCAGAGAGUGCGGAAUGUUUUCUCUAUGAGCAGUCUUGGAAUUAUUUACUGUCUUAUGCGUUACAGUAGGCCUCGGCGGCAGAACUUGGCCAGUGAGCUCCAGAGGCCGGAAGACACAGAAAGGAACAAUAUAAUGAGACCGGUAGCCAUUCAUAAGGCGUGAAGGAGCGUGAGGAUACAGUUGCGCCGAUUCCAUGCAAGAUACCAGCUAAUUAUACGGCGAGUAACGUGGAUGUUUUUUUUUUCUUGUUUACAUAACGUGCCGAUAUUGUGAUCACGAUCUCUAUGAACGGGUAUGAUCUGGAUAUGGCACCUAGUCACGUUCGUUCAUUAUUUGUACUGCUUAUG